UUGUGUUUGGUAAACAAACUGAGAAAGUACUUUUGUAUGACAAAAUUACCAUAAAGGACAUUGCAUAGUAUUAUACAACAGAACAUAAUAAAACAUAACAUAAAUUAAUAUAUAAAUAUACGAUAUAGUAUAAUAUUACUGUAAUAUAAAAUAAUAUUAUGUUAAUAUAGCAUAAUAGUAAUAUAAUUAUUAGAGUAAAUUAAUAUUUGGUAAUAUAGCAUAAUAUUAAAUUAUUUAACAUAACAUAUUAAUGUAUUAUGAUAUAAUGUAAUAUAUAUUAUAUUUAUAGUAUAAUACAACAAUAAAAGUAUAAAAUAUUAUAAUUAUUAGUAAAUUAAUUUCUUAUAAUAUAACAUAAUAUUAAAUUAUUUAAAAUAACAUAUUAAUGUAUUAUAAUGUAAUGUAAUAUAAUACAAUAUUUAUAAUAUAAUACAAUAAUAAAGGUAUAAAAUAUUAUAAUUAUUAUUAUAAAUUAAUUUUCCAUAAUAUAACAUAAUAUUAAAUUAUUUAAAAUAACAUAUUAAUGUAUUAUAAUGUAAUGUAAUAUAAUACAAUAUUUAUAGUAUAAUAUAAUAAUAAAGGUAUAAAAUAUUAUAAUUAUUAUUAUAAAUUAAUUUUUCAUAAUAUAACAUAAUAUUAAAUUAUUUAACAUAACAUAUUAAUGUAUUAUGAUAUAAUAUAAUAUGAUAUUAUAUUUAUAGUAUAAUAUAAAAAUAAAGAUAUAAAAUAUUAUAAUUAUUAGUAUAAAAUAAUUUUCCAUAAUAAUUUUUUAUAAUUUUUCAUAAAAUAAUUUUCCGCGGUCCAGGGGCUCUUCUUCGUAGUCCACGCUCGAGGAGGACCUCAGCGUGGGCCGCGAGGUUGAUGAUAAAAAAAAAAACAAUAGAUUGAUUUUGGAAGGUAUGGAAAAAGAUUAAAAUUUUUUUCUUCUAAAAUGUGGUUCAAGAGAUGCAUACAAAAAUUGAAAAGAAAAAUACCUUUUCUUACGGAAGGAAGUCUGACGGCUAGGGUUCUUGGCUCCAGUAGAUUUUUAGGUUUAUAAAGGGACAAACUAUGUAUUUAUGUUAUUUUAAUAUGGGCAUUUUUGUCAAAAAUACAGCUUUCCGAAAAAGCUGAAACAGCUUCCUCCCAAAAGCUCCAAAUUGGAGCUUCCUCCCAAAAGCUGUUUUCAGCUUCCUGCAAAAGCUGAAACAGCUUUUUGCAAAAUUUACCAAACACAGUUUUUUAUCUAAAAGUACUUUUGGAGGGCCAGAAAGUGCUUUCUGGCCCUCCAAAAGCUCUCCCAAACAGGGCCUAAGUCCCUGAACAUUUUUUUAUAAAAACUUGUGAUUAAUAAUCCCACAUAAUAUAUAUUAGAAUAAUCUUAAGAGGUCCUUAAAUUAUGUCAAAGGACCUGGAAAGAUAUGUGUAAACACCAACUUUAACAGGGAAGGGAUUUACAAGAAAUAAUUCAGAAAGUUUGAGGUUGUGUCAGAGGUUUUAGUUGAUACGCUGAUUGGCAAAUAAGGAUAAACAAAACUGACGUCAAAUUGUCGGGACAAGAGUUGAUGGUUAUAAUUGUGGAUUCUCUCCAACAACUUACCGUUGAAUGAUGCAACUUUCUCACUCCAAGGUCUAUGUUCUUUGGAAUCCUUUUGUCUCAUUUCUUGGGACUUAACAUAUUAUAGACAACUGCACUAGUUAUCAUGUCAACAAAUAUCUCAUUGUAUGACUGUAUUAUGUUACUCCUUGUUGUAACAAAAAUUACCUAUUUAUGAUAAGUUGGAACCACUUUUAGUGUCAUCAAAUUCACUAAUGCACCACCACAAAGUCAACAAUCACAACUCUCAUCAUGUUACCAUUUCCAAUCUAUUAUUUGCUAACAUGAUAUCUCAAAUUCUCCACUAUUUUGCAUAAAUGGCAAUAUAUUGUUCCAUAAAUAUAAAUGUUACUAUCUUCUAGAGUUCCUGACAUUCAUCUAGUCCUUACAUUGCAUCUAGAGUCUUAGCUAUAAUCCCAUUUUAUUGCCUAAGCAAUAAAACCAUUUGUCACCACCUUUUGUAAUAUUUGAAUUGCUUUACAUACAGUUCCUAAGAAUAAAAGAACAUACAACUCUCAUAAGGAAGACAAUUUGAUGCAGCACAAGGUGCAACCAACAAGUACUUUGAUCAGCUAGAUCAUACCAAACUUCUCAGGAGCAACAGAUUCAUAGGCGAAGAUUUUGCACGAGCUAAAAGUUUGUGACCGAGCCUCUUAUAAAUUUUCAAUUACAGAAGGAGUCAAAUUUUAGCUAGAUUUUUAUAUUUGUAGUUGAAUAAUUCUAGCAUAUUUUCUUAUUACUAAGUCCUAUUUCUAGUAUAGUUUUGUACUAGGUUGAAGUCCCAAAUUAGGAUUAAGGGUCAUGUCCUAUAUAUGCUUCUACUACAUUGUAUGAUGGUAGCUUUUGACAUAUUAAUAAAAGAAAUUCUUGGAGAGAACUUCCUUCAUGAAACGAAGGGUUCUUCAAUCCAGUUUUCCUUCAAUUUAUAUGUAUAAUCUCCAAAGUGUAAUUCCUGGCGAUCCAAUAGCUCUUCACUCCUCAUGCAACAUCACUUCCUAAUAUCCACAAAAAAAUUAAGGGCAAACCUGUUGAUGUUUAAAUCAACAAUAGUUAGUAAAAGAGUUUACAGUAAUGCUGUGAAUUAAAUAGUGUUGGAAGACCUCAGUAACAUUAUCGAGCCCAUAUAUUCAAGCCCCUGUCUCAUGUCUCGGAUAACCCUCAACCUCUCAUCUUAAAUUCUUUGGAAAAAAAGAAUGAAUUCAAUUAAGAUGGUGUUUUAACACAAUCCCUACAUGCAAUUCUUGGUUCACUUGUUGCAAUCCAGAAGGUUAAAGAUAAGCAUUAUGAUAUGUGUUCGCUUGGCAAUUUAUCUUUGCAAGGCUUUGACAUACUGGAGAUUCCAGUUCACUCAUAUAAACACAUCAUUCCUAGGAAAAGUUCAGUCCUGUCUCCUUUACCACUUCCACGUGUUACAAGCUUACCUGCCCCCAAAUCAUACAUCUAGCCUCCUUUUAUCACCCAUUCAUCACGUUCUUCUUGCUAACCACUAACAAAAACUAUGGUUAAACUAUACAAAUUCAAAGGCCCGAACAAAUCCAAAAAAAAACCAACUUUACAUCAUAUAAAACAAAACCCAUUAGACCGCGAUUCUUGAUAAACCCAUCACCGAAUUCAUCAAGAAACCCAGAACUCAUGAAUCAAAAGAAAGAAAGGUUGGGAAGGGGCAAGCACCUGGACUCCGCCUUCGCCGGGACCGCAAGGAAUGAGGACGGGCCCUAUGCUAGGCCUCUCGACUGUGAGGGGGACCUGGACCCUGAACCCUUUGGCUCGGCCGCGCGGCAAGCUCUUCCCCGUCCGCUUAUUCUCCUCCUCCUCCUCGCCGCCGUCGCCGCCGGCGGCAACGGCGGCGGCGGCGGCGGCGGCGGCCCCGUUUGCUUCGUCCCUCGCGAGGCCAAGAAAACCGGCGAUCCUCCGGAAGAACCCCAUUCUCGAUCAAGAACCACUCGACGAGGAGAUUUAUGGUUUGGGAAGGGGUGGGGGGGUCCGAGAGGGGUGGUGGGUGGGGCUUUUUAUCUUGGGGUUUUAACCGCGAUGGAAGAAGGUAAAAGAGACUGUAGUUUUUUUCAUAAAAAACAGACGUGUAGAUCGGAAUUUCUGAAGGAUCGCGGUCGUAUGCUUCGGGCGAAAAAAUUCACCUUCCUUCGCGCCGAUCCACCGUUGGAUCAGUCACUGCAUAGAUCUCCAAGCGCUCCGAACUCUUAUCAUUCAUCCACCGGCACAGCUCUCAAAGCGAGGAAGGCGCGCAAAGGAUCCAACAGCGAUACAUUCCUGAAUUGCCCCUUUGGUUGUGAAUACCAAAUUCUUGGAGAUCCACGUGGCGGUUGCUUGAUUGCUUCCACGGAUCGCCAAAGCGCGUAACGUAUCAUACCAGCAGUGAACCAAGAUUUUGGUACAACAUGCCAAGUCGACCCUUAUACCACACAUAUCAAUAUUAUACCAAUAAAUAUCUUACGGAAUCCGGCACUCCGACACGAGUAAUGCUUGUCGUUAGAUUUGUAUAUUUAGUUACGGUUAAUCUGAAGAGGAAGAGGAUGAUGCCAAUCUUUAAAGCCUUGUCAAAGUUUUUAAAAGAAAGUGCCCUAAUCACUAAGGAGCGAUUUGCCAGGAGAGUGUUUAGCUAUGGUUGCUUGAUGGGUAUCUUCUAUAGUUGUAUCCAUCUUUUAUUAAUUUCAUAGCUUUUUUUAAAAAAGAGAGGGAGAGAGAAUAGGAGGGCAAUACACCAAAUCAUAUUGCAUAAUUUUUCCUUUUUUAUGUCAUGAUUUGAUAAUGUGUCAAGUUUGACAGGUAACUAUAGAUAUUAUCAGUUGAAUAAUCUUAUUAGUUGAAUAAUCACGUGCAUUGCUAAUUAUAUGUGGUUGAAAAGGAGGUAAAGAAUGGUAACCUUGAUAAUGCUAAAUUUGAAGUUUGGAGACUAGAUAAAAUAUUUGGACUUAUUUUUUCUAUUCUUUUAUAUUCUCUAAUGCCAUGCUUAUUUUGAUAGUUUGUAGUACCCAACAACACUAAGCAUAUUGACUCAUACUGAUAAGAAAUCAAUGCUUGGUACGUUUCUCGCAUAAAUGUAGUUACCAAGUAUAGUUUUUAUGAGCUGAACCAUGAACCUUAGUUAUUUCAAAGAUAAAAUAGAAUAAAGCAAAGUUUGUUUUUGAUGCUUCAAUUAUUAGAUAAGUUUUAUAUAUUUGUUAAAAAGCUAAAUAUAUUCUUUGGUCCCCUCGGUAAUGUUGGAGGAGGAUUUUUUAUCAUUUUGAAAUUAAUCAACUAUGGGUGAGAUAGGUAUAACAUGAAAAUACCAUGGUUAUGCUGGUAUGGGAUAAGUGUUAUUGAGAAGAUAGUUGACAUUAGCUAGUUUCUAAUUUUGUUAUAUUAUCACUACUUUUUACCAUAUUCUUAUGUGCGCUUUUUCUACAUAGACCUUAGACCAAGAUGGUCCGAUUUUCUUGAUCACUUUGUUAGAUUAUUCCAUACUUUACUUUCAGUUUUUAAUUUUUAAUCUCUAACUUUUUUUGGAAAGAAAAUAUUAUUGUAUAAGUUUUUCAAAUUAAUGACCAACUGAAUUUAAAGUGUAAUUAAGAUUCCUCCAUAAGGAAGUCAAUUAAUUUGUUGGAAAAGAAUAAAACUCAAAAUUACAAAUAGUUUCAAGCAACUCAACCAAGUAUCUAACACGAAGCUCACUCUUUUGCCGGUAUCGCUUGGUAGAAGAGCCACUUGAAAAAUAAUGAGGAAGCCAAAAUUCAAAAACUCCAUGCUUUUAUAACCGCAUAGGCAUAAGAAUUAUGGAUAAUUGUUAUAACAAGCUUAACAUAAUAAUUAUUGAGAAAUGAGGCAGGAGUCUCCUAUUUUCUUACCUUCCAUCAAGUUUUAUUUUUAAAAAAUAUAUUUUGCCUUUACGUUAACUAAAUUCAUUUUUUCUUCUUUUAACAAGAAAGAAUGAAAUUUAUGACACGCUUUACAAUUUUCAUGUUUGUUGAAACAUUAAUGUCAGAGCCGCAUAUUGAAUUAAUAUUGUAUAUUCUAUAUUUUAUAAUACGGUUAAUCAACAUGUUAACUAACCGAUAACAAUAAGUUGGAUUUUUUUUUUCUUGCAGUAUUUCGAUGUGCCAUAAGCAUGAAAGUGGUUCAAGAAAUUUUUUUUUUUAUAAGGGCUAAAAAUAAAUCAUUUAUUUUGACUUUUGACCCAUGUUGGGUGGAUCAAACUGGCGUUUCCCUGGAGGAACCAUGUGAUUCUUACCUUCAUAUUGGAAAUUUCGUGCGUGAAAAAAAGAAAGGCUAGCGAGGGGAACGCCGGAAGAAGACUUCCGCGCUCCGACCGACUUCCAGCGCUCCGACCGACCUCCCGCCUCCCCCAACGCCACAAGACUCAAUCCUUCUCUCUCCAGCUUGCGUCGCAAAAACGCUAGCUCAAUCUUUGAAACCCUAGAUCCGAGAUCUCGUUUUCUCGUAACCAGAGAAGGGGAAGACUGCCAUCCCUUUGCCCCCCCGCCCCCCUCUCUUUGGAGGUAGGGCUAUCUAAUCGCCGUGAUCUGGGGUUAAUUUGGCCUAGGAAGAGAUGCCUGUGGCGGCGUCUGCCAUAUACUUCCUCAAUCUUCGUGGGGAUGUUCUCAUCAACCGCCUCUACCGCGAUGACGUCGGGUGAGAACACUUCCUGCGGACUAGGGUUUACGGAAUCUAAGUUUUGUUUGAUUUCUCGGUGUAAUAACGAAAUUUGGGCGUUACGAUAUGUUUUCUACAUUCAAAUCAUGUUUUUCUUUUGCAAGAAUGCUGAGUGAUCUGCUGAACUACUUGUGCCACGAAUAAGAAUUUUUAAAUAUCAAAUUUGUUGGUUCUAAGCCACACUUUGCUUUUGAUGAACUACAAUUGAAUAGCUGAUCUCUUCACAUGAUAUCCUUUUAUAAUUAAAUUACCACAUAUUACUGGCUCGUCAUUGUGAUCAUAUUCGCACAAUAAAAAAAUCUGAUUAGUUGAUGUACACUGCAUGUUGUUUUUACCAUGUCUUGAAUUUAUAGAAUGAUGCUCUUGAAUUUUCAUUAGCAUUAAUGGAAAUAAUUUAUUCAUCUCCUAAUUUUAUAAUUUCAGUUAAGACUUUGGUCGGAAGUUGAAUUUGGUAUGGUGUCUCUUGCAAAGAAGCCUUUGUGUAGAGGGACUGAAGAGGUGUCUCUUUGUCCACCUAAUCCAACUUGCAUUUGUUUCAAGAUUUGAUGAUGAGGAAGCAAUAGGAGAAUGGACUUUGGUUUACUUCUUGUAAAUCUAUACUCCAAGAUAAUGAAUCAUGACAGUGGUAGGAGUAUAGAGAUAGGAUGCCUUGAAUUUGCCACAUUUCUCGAUUUCUGUUCUAUCAUUAAUGUUCUUAAAUUUUUGAGUUUAAUUUGCAAACAAUUUGACUCCUCCGACUUAGUUCAUUUUAUGCACUUUGGUCUAUCAUUUGUACAUGCAGUAUAUAUCUUAAAGACCUGCAUUAACAAUCAUCUGUAUUCUUCUUCCAUCAUUUCUUGCCGGUGGAGAUCCAAAAAAACUGUAUCAUAAUGUAUCACAGUCACCCAGGCUGCUUGUUUUCUUGUAAUGACAUGCAUGCUUUCUCUAAAAUUGUGGCAUAUCCAGUGGCAAUAUGGUGGAUGCAUUCCGAAUGCAUAUAAUGCAGACAAAAGAACUUGGUACUUGUCCUGUCCGGCAAAUUGGAGGUUGUUCUUUCCUUUACAUGAGAAUCAGCAACGUGUACAUUGUGAUUGUUGUUAGCGGCAAUGCCAAUGUUGCUUGCGCUUUCAAGUUCGUCGUUGAGGUAUGCGUUAUCUAGUAUCUGUUUUCAAUUUCAAACUGCUGCUACUCCUGUCCUCCUCUAUCUGUUUAUAUGAUUAGUCGCAUGCAUGCGUGCUUGCCCCAAUGUAGUGCCAUUAGCAAGUGUAGCUAAAAGGGUAUCAGCUUAAAUUUCUAACUUUUGCUAUCUUAAAUUAAUCAAACCCCCUUCCCCGCACCCCUCCACCCCCAGCCCGCGCGCGCCGCAAAAAAAUAAAAAAGAAAGAAACGUAGACUCAGGCACACAAACUCACAGACAGAUACACAUAUUAUAUUUGAUGGCAUUAGCAUGCUUAGAUUUUACAUAGUAAGUUCCAUUCAAAUUUCUACUUGCAAGACCAUUAUAUUAGUGACCAGCUUUUUAUGUGUUGCUCUCCUUAUGGUUAACUUUUACCAGUGUGUUUUUUCAAGGAUAAGGACAGAGAGUUCUCUGGAGCAUCACGGCAAGUGUUCUGGAUGAGAGAGAGUUGCCAUGGAUCAUGUUUAUCUGUGUGAAAGAAUUUUACAAUCUUUUCCUUUUGAUAAUGAAUUUAAAACGUUUCAAUUCUUGUUAUAAACUUCACAUGGAUCGCAGGCAGUAAGGUUGGGACAGCUAAUACUUAGAUGCGACUUCUAGAAUAUUAAUAAAUAACAUGUUUGUUUAAGAUCAGAAAGAAAUCAAAGAUGAUUAAGGGAGUACAGGAUUGGAUGCGUUGGGGUGAAGGGAAGGAAUUACCUAUUCUUUUACAUGGCUUUAGAAAAUUAAGUCAGAAUUGGGAGUAUUUGCAAUGGAUGCUUAUCAGUUGAAAUAUGAAAAGGAAUUAAUGGGAGGGAAUGUACGAAAGGAAGGAAUUGCCUGACCCAGAGGUGUUUUUCUGUUGGAUCAAUCAAGGCCUGCGAGACAACUCUAGUGGAAAAGUUUCGAAGACUUUGGAUGGUUUCCUAAUAUGAGAAUAUCACAAUAUUAUAUGAUAUAUUUGUCAACUAUAUGCAAUGAGAAAUCUCAAGAAAAUUUUAUCCCAUCAUUUGUCCGUUGUGUGCAAGAAAUGUGGUGCCAAUAGGCCCUUCUUUUGCAUCAUAGGAAAAUCUUGAAGAUUUUAAAGCACUCACACAAAGGACACAUUUUUAGUUUUCUUCAUCAAUGGUACGAAAGCUAUCAUGUUUUGGAAUCUUGGUUGGAGUUCUAGCAUCUUCUACAAUGAAGUACCUCCUUUAGACUGAGCAAGUUAUAUGAAUGCUUCGAAGCUUGUGGGGAACAAGGGUUAAUGCUGCGGAAGUUAAGACUUUUCUUGUAUGUGCAGUCAUACUUAACAGAGUGAUAGAAGGGGGAUCCCACAAACACCAUCAAGUAGGCUUUCUAGGGUGUCACACCAUGGAAACUGGCAUUUUAUUUUUACAAAGGAAGUUGCAUUUUAUGAGAGGUUGUUGUAAGUUGCAAAUUGACUAGUGUCAUGAUAUGCUAAUGUAUUGUUAGGAGCGGAUGAGAAUGGUUGUGUCUGAAUUGGCCUAUAAUCUAUGUCAAUGAUUGAGUACUGUGUAGUCUAUAAUAUGUGUGAAUGGAGUACUAUGUGGCCCACUCAUGUUAGUUAUGAGAUACCAUGGUAUGGGAACAUGCCAUGUCAUGCUUACCAUGUGCCCAGCUAGUUGUCUAGGCUCAUGACAAUGUAAAAGGGCCUUGUGUUAGGCCACAUUGAUUCAUUUUGGAAUGUGCCAGAUGGCAUUUACCAACAUGGUUAAAUAUUGGUAUACAUAGCAAAGUUUCAAGUAUAGGUUUUAGUACUCAUAUUCGUAUGCAACCAGUACACCCUUUAUUGAGUGUCAGUAUGACACAUCCCUUGAUAUGACACUCCGUAGGGAAGGGUAGUACCAGUUUCUACCUGUACAGCAUGAAUAUACCUGGUAUGGACCAGUAUAGUCUGAUAUUUCAAUCCUUUCUACACAAGACAAUUUUGCAGUCCCUUGUAUCCUGCUUGUACCUGGUUGGGGUGGUGCACACCAUGUGAUAAAGAUUGGUAUACCUGCGUUGAAAUUCUUGGUCUAUAUUGCCUCAGUCUUCUUUGCAUGUAUUGUUAUUUAUCCAUUAUCAGUCAACAUUCUACUUACCACGUUCAAGAAACAGUGAAUAUCAUGCCACUUAAAUUUAUCUGAAUAUGCUUAACAAUACUUCCUGAAUAAUUGGAAUUUUUUGCUUAUGACCAUAACAUGAUUGUCUGUUUGUUGUUACUUCAUUCUACUACUAGAGAAGUAGGAUCCUAAAAGUUCUUACUACUGCUACAUUUGCAUGUACAAAUGUACGUAGAUGCAACAAGUAAGAAAUUCUACAAAUAUAUAUUGGAAGACAAGUAUUUAUGCAUUCUUGAUUUGAUCAGCUCAUAACUUAUCGUAAAACUGUUUUGUUUCCUAUUUUAGAAGAAUUGAGGGAAAAAUCUGUUCUUUCAGUGAAAAGAGAACCUAGUGGAAACCAUGAUCUUAAUGAUUCCUUUAUGUGGCAUGAUAGCAUGGCUUGAAACAGUUAUGAGCUGUUGAACUAUACUACAUAUGCAGCUGCGAACAGAAUUGGGCAAAAAUUUGCUUAUGUUAGUUUCCUAAUAAUAUUGUUUCAUUAGCAAUAAGCUUUUUUGACUUAUGACAGGCUGUUGCAUUGUUUAAGUCUUAUUUUGGUGGGGCAUUUGAUGAAGAUGCCAUCAGGAAUAAUUUUGUUCUGAUCUAUGAGCUUCUUGAUGGUAUGCAUCCGAAUCAUGUUAUUCUCUAUGCUGUCAUGGUUUCAUCCUCUUAUCUUCUGUUAGCUAUACUGUUAUAUGUUAUUGAAUUUUAGGCGAUCUAGUUGAAGAUAAAUGUAUGAUUUAACCAAUUAUUAGGGGAGAACUUCUUGUCAUUUUUUUGGGUUGAACUCAUGAUUCCAUGUGAAAGAGAAGAUGUAUUAACACUUUUUUGUCACAACUGUGAUGCACAUUAGGUGACUAUAGUUUUUCUGCAUGUAUUUCCUGUGCCAGUCAGGUAAUUGGGCUUCCUAAUUGACAGCUAACUACUGUCGUUUAUUGAUCCACAUAGUAGAUCAGUGUGUUAACAUGUUGUCAUCAUCAUUUUAUGAAAUGCGUUAUGAUUUGAUAAGGGUCCAUGUAAUGCUUUAAUAUCUUGCACCGUCUGUGUGAUCAAACACAUAUCUUCAUCCUUAUGUGUCCUUAUCCGUUUGUUGCUAAAAAGAUUUCAUGAGUUUAUGAUCUUUGUGUGACGCAGUCUUCUUAAAUGCAUGGAAAUAACUAUAUUGCUGCUGAACAUGUUACUAUGUUUAAGGAGGACUCCNNNNNNNNNNNNNNNNNNNNNNNNNNNNNNNNNNNNNNNNNNNNNNNNNNNNNNNNNNNNNNNNNNNNNNNNNNNNNNNNNNNNNNNNNNNNNNNNNNNNNNNNNNNNNNNNNNNNNNNNNNNNNNNNNNNNNNNNNNNNNNNNNNNNNNNNNNNNNNNNNNNNNUUAUUAAAGUUGGGACCUGUCAACUUGUCAUUAUCCAAUAAUGAGCGAAGUGACAAAUUAGUGGUCAUUUCUAUAUAAAAGAAAAUUUGGCUAUUAGUAUAUGAAUUGACUAAACACAUUAGACUUGGACUUUAGUCUAAAGGUACUCCCACUAUUUUAUACAAAUUGGUAGCCUCUACCUCUAAUUCGAAAAAUUACUCCUAAUUUUUAGUGGGCACUAGAACCCAAUAGAUCACAUAUAGGCUCGAGUGUGGCUCGGCCAACCCAUAUGCACCUAUUGGUAGGUUCUUAACCAAUUGCUUCACCAAGCAACUUCUAGUGAUGAUUUUGCCCUAGGUUUUCCAGCAGGCGUGUGGCGCCUCCACCGAAUACCCUAGUCAGGUCCAACCAUUAAAUGAUAGGGUUAAGUCUAAUCAACUAAUAGACGACCAAGCCCGAGUGUGGCUCGGCUCACCUGACCGCCUAUUGAAGGUACACUUAACUCAUCAUAUAUUGAAUGACAAUUCCAAUGCUUGAUAAGUACCAGGCAUGUGGNNNNNNNNNNNNNNNNNNNNNNNNNNNNNNNNNNNNNNNNNNNNNNNNNNNNNNNNNNNNNNNNNNNNNNNNNNNNNNNNNNNNNNNNNNNNNNNNNNNNNNNNNNNNNNNNNNNNNNNNNNNNNNNNNNNNNNNNNNNNNNNNNNNNNNNNNNNNNNNNNNNNNNNNNNNNNNNNNNNNNNNNNNNNNNNNNNNNNNNNNNNNNNNNNNNNNNNNNNNNNNNNNNNNNNNNNNNNNNNNNNNNNNNNNNNNNNNNNNNNNNNNNNNNNNNNNNNNNNNNNNNNNNNNNNNNNNNNNNNNNNNNNNNNNNNNNNNNNNNNNNNNNNNNNNNNNNNNNNNNNNNNNNNNNNNNNNNNNNNNNNNNNNNNNNNNNNNNNNNNNNNNNNNNNNNNNNNNNNNNNNNNNNNNNNNNNNNNNNNNNNNNNNNNNNNNNNNNNNNNNNNNNNNNNNNNNNNNNNNNNNNNNNNNNNNNNNNNNNNNNNNNNNNNNNNNNNNNNNNNNNNNNNNNNNNNNNNNNNNNNNNNNNNNNNNNNNNNNNNNNNNNNNNNNNNNNNNNNNNNNNNNNNNNNNNNNNNNNNNNNNNNNNNNNNNNNNNNNNNNNNNNNNNNNNNNNNNNNNNNNNNNNNNNNNNNNNNNNNNNNNNNNNNNNNNNNNNNNNNNNNNNNNNNNNNNNNNNNNNNNNNNNNNNNNNNNNNNNNNNNNNNNNNNNNNNNNNNNNNNNNNNNNNNNNNNNNNNNNNNNNNNNNNNNNNNNNNNNNNNNNNNNNNNNNNNNNNNNNNNNNNNNNNNNNNNNNNNNNNNNNNNNNNNNNNNNNNNNNNNNNNNNNNNNNNNNNNNNNNNNNNNNNNNNNNNNNNNNNNNNNNNNNNNNNNNNNNNNNNNNNNNNNNNNNNNNNNNNNNNNNNNNNNNNNNNNNNNNNNNNNNNNNNNNNNNNNNNNNNNNNNNNNNNNNNNNNNNNNNNNNNNNNNNNNNNNNNNNNNNNNNNNNNNNNNNNNNNNNNNNNNNNNNNNNNNNNNNNNNNNNNNNNNNNNNNNNNNNNNNNNNNNNNNNNNNNNNNNNNNNNNNNNNNNNNNNNNNNNNNNAUCUUGGAUCCCCGUACUAUACCAAACAAGUUACUCAUGGAUACUCGGGGAUUUUUAAUCACUGGAUCAUGGCCUACCAAACAUAUUGAUCUUAAAUCACUGGGGAUCAAAUCACCCCAGCAUUCGAAUCACCGAGGAUCUUAGAUCACCGUGGUGAUCCUGUUGGGGUUACCAAACGCCCCUGUAAAUAUUUGUCAACAAGCCUCAACCCUAGGAAUGUCACUGGAUCGAGAAUAUCCAAAACUUUUGUGGUCUGAUCUGAAGACUUAUCCAAAACAAUGCUAAAUCAGGUCUGUUCUCAUCAUAACUCAUCCUGCUUUUGGAUGUUUUAUGUUUUUAAAUGGCAUAUUAAGGAAAUUAUAUUUGACCAAAGUUGUUUAUAAUGAGUUGAGAUUAACUGAAACACUGUAAACGAAAAAUACAUCAAAUUUUAAGAGUGCAUGUAGCCGAAGGCUCUUGAUACUUCUUUGGCUGCCCCCAUAGAACAUGAUGUUAUCGCAGUUGAGGGGUCCAUAUUGUUCCAAACUCCAAUGCAGUGGCAUGACUUGGUAGUUUGCCUUGAUUGCAUUCAACAUUUUUACUUUCAUUGUGAUAUGCACCAUCAUAGAAAGUGGUUGCUUGGUCUGCCUAGCCUUGGACUGUUACCUAGCCAUCCCUCUUAAAGGGCUGAACCUAUCAGACAACCUUUAUUUGCUGGCCACCUAUUGGGUACCUAGGCAAUCAGCCAAUGCCUGAGGUCAGGUUUGGACUUAUUUUGGGGCAGACGAGGGUAUUAGACCACUGGAUCAUAAACCUAUUUCUUUUGCAGUAGUGCCCAAACACCUUACUUGUUGGCAAGUUCCACUAAUUCUUGAUCUUUGAAUAUAUUAUUUAUUAUUUGGUAGAGUUGUUGCAUUUAAUCGCAUGAGACAUUGAGCACGCUUUAUGAAUGUUUAAUUAAUACAUUGCAUAACUUUCAGGGAAAUUUGUAAUUUUACUAAUUAACAUGUAAUAUUACAUUAAAUAAGGUUCAAGCAAAUGCAAAUUGUUUGCUGAAUAACUUUUUCCUUUAUUUCUUUGUUCCUUUCUACUUUUGGUCUUUUACUUUAACUAUCAUCCACCCAGGCAUCUGUUUUCUAUGAUCAUUAUGUGGUCAUUUGGUUGGGCACAUUCUGCAACUACCUAUUAAAAAGUUGGUAAUAUCAACUCCAUUGUAUACUUGUACUUGCUUCAUGGUUAAGGAGAUCUAGCCCAUUGAAGAUAAUUUUGAUAUGCUUAGUCUAUAAAGAAGUAACCUGCCAUUAACUCCCUUAUUAAAUAAUGCAACAAAGUUUGCUGUUUGUCUUUGCGAAUUACACAAGUAAACUGCUAGAUUGCUUCCCACAACUGAAUGACCCAAGACCAUCUGGGACAACGAAGUGUGGCAAGUUUUCAAGUAAUAAGAGGUUUCUCCCACAUUGAUCUAGAAAGAAGCUUGGUUUUAGAGCUUUAUCAUUUAUAUUAUCUGAAACUAAUUAACAUGAUGUGAUUUGAUCAACCCUAGAGUUUAUGUGCAACAUAUGUCUUCUGGGUACUAGAAUCUCAAUAAACAACUGCUUAUGUGAACAAAGACACAGCAACAUCAACAUUUGCUUGCUGAUUUUAAGUGUGUAUGGGUGUGCACACGGACUUCUGAGCCACAGGGAACAUGAUUCUACCUGUUCUCACAUUAUGAAACCAGAGGCUGUUGCAAUUUUUUGGACUGAGAUUCCAAGUUCUUGUGAUUAAUUAACAAAUGUGAUCUAAUAAUCUAAAUACAGAAAAGUGGAGAACAUGAAAAUCAUGCAUUAAGAAGAAAGUAUGUGGUAGAUAGACUAGAUUGGGUUUUGGUAUCUUGUUUCGCCUUAAGGUCUCAAACACUGGCAUGUAGUUUCAGCCCAUGCUGUUUUAAUUUGUGGCUUAUGACCUCUGAUAAUGGGAACUAUAAGAAAGGAUCUCUAGAUGAAAGAAUUGAGGGAAUGUAAAAGGAAGAGAGUAACAGGAGAUGGAAGAAGAAAGGAAACAAGGUGAGAGAGGAGAUGCACGGUUUGUUCCAUCAGGCUGUGCAUCUCCCCCUUAUCAUAAUGUUAUUGGUUAAGUGGAUAGGAGCCCAAUCCCUUGAGUGUUUGUCGGCAACUCAGGGGUCUGUUACAAUUAAUUAGGUCCAAUUCCUUCUGCUUAAGGCCACUAGUUAUGUAGGUGCCCAAUUCCGUCAAAAGAUGUAGAACUAUCAGCAAUCUUUAGCACAUGUUAUGGUUACUUAAAACACUAGGAUGAUUCUUUUUUAAAGUAAAUAAAGGUGCUGAAACUGGUCUUACUGAUUAGUCAAUGUGCUCAUGACUCAUGAGUUUUCUGGAAGUAUGCUGAGCUUAAUGUCACCAUCAUGUCAUUUUAUCAUGCUUCAAGAGAAAAUGCUGGAACUCUUACUAUUGUUAUCAGUUGAUGUUAGUAAUACUAAGUACUUACAUAUUUUAUGUCCCCAACUUAAUCUGCAGAAAUUAUGGAUUUUGGUUAUCCCCAAAAUCUUUCACCUGAAAUUUUGAAGCUUUACAUCACUCAAGAAGGGGUUCGUUCUUCAUUCUCAUCCAAGGUCAGAUGUCAAACUUCAAUUUAUGUGGUUGAAUUGAUCUCUUAGCGUAUGUAGAUAGUGUGCUUUAUUGAUUUUAUAUGAUUUUGAAGGUAUCAUUUAUUAUAAUUUCCCUGUCUUUCUAUGUUUAUAGCCAUCAGAAAAGCCAGUCCCAAAUGCAACACUACAAGUUACAGGUGCUGUUGGUUGGAGACGUGAGGGUCUUGUAUAUAAGAAGAAUGAGGUGACUCUUAUUUUAUACCUUCCUGCUGUGAGUUCUGUAUAACAAAUACACAUUUUCUCAAGCUAGUAUGGUUCAGGUUUUCUUGGACAUUGUGGAAAGUGUUAAUCUUCUUAUGUCUUCUAAAGGUGACCAGUGAAAAGCAUUAGCUCCUGAUUUAUGUUGUUAUACAGCAAUAUAUUUUUUAUUAAUAAACUUAUCCCUCUUUGGUGAAUUUGCUGGUUAUUUAGGGAGUGUUCUACGUUGUGAUGUGACUGGAAAGAUUCUCAUGAAAUGCUUCCUCUCUGGGAUGCCUGAUCUAAAACUAGGCUUAAAUGACAAAAUUGGGCUUGAAAAAGAAUCACAACUCAAGUCCAGGCCAGCAAAAAGGUAAGCUCAUGAAAGUUGUAGGGCUGUCUGGUUGUCAAAUUUUUACUAAAAUAUUUUUAUACAAAACCUAAACUGAAUGAAUUUUAUAAAAAAAACACUCAUUUGGUUAUUUUCCAUAUAAAUGAUUUUGUAAAUAUUGGCUUGUCAAAAUUAAAAAAAAGAGACUUUUCAGGUCUACCCUUGUUUUUGUACCAUUUUACAAAAAAAUCAGGUUUUAUGAUUAUUGUUUUAAUGGACCUCACAGACAACUAAAUAGCCCUUUCAUGUCCUUCUGAAGAAAAAACUUUAUAUACAUUCUAUGAUUUCCUUGGUUCAAAUUGUUUGUAUCAUAUGGAUUUAUUUGCUCAGAUAAUAGUUCUGGGAAGUUUUUUUUUCUUUUUUAACCAGCUUUCAACUUUUUGUCUGCUAGAUGUUGCCAUGACAGUAUGGGCAUCCACAGUGAAAUUCUGAGCAGAUGCUACUAAAGGGAGUGUUUUGUAUUUCUGUAUGGGGUUUGGAAAGAGUAGUUUUAAAUACCUAAAUUUAUGCCAAUGAGCAGUGAUACAGUGCUUAAGAAGGUUUAGUAAGUAUGGUCUCAAAUAUUUAGGAUUCUUUCCACACAAAUUUUUCUCUCCACCCCGGAGUCUAAUGUUCAUAUAGUAAAUUUAUUUGUUUGUCAGGCCAAGUCAUAAAAUGAUUUGUGGAACUAAAAGGCUGUCCGUUUUAUGAAAUUUCUAAUAUGAAAUAUGCUCUUGCCUUAGCAAUUUGCAUUGUUCUUGUAGUCUUUCAAUAAUCUACAAAAAGUUUCUCCUACAUUGAAUCAUAAGUGAAUCUCAAAUAUGACUUAUUUUUAGUUUAUUGAAAUUGUUGUUGAAGUAUUUGCCACAUGGACCCUUCUAGCAUCAUUGAUAACUUUUGGCAUCUUUUUUUUUCCUCCUUACUCAGUGGAAAGACCAUCGAACUUGAUGAUGUUACUUUUCAUCAGUGUGUAAACCUGACGAGGUUCAACUCAGAAAAGACAGUCAGCUUCGUGCCUCCUGAUGGUGAAUUUGAAUUGAUGAAGUAAUCGUACUACAUUUUCCUUAUGCCACAUUUCUUCUAAGUCAUGAAAUAUAUUGCCAUUUUCUGUUUCUUGCUAUGAAGCCUGUCAAAGCCAUUUGCUUUUUGCCAUAUUUGUGCAUAUGCCUUGUGUUGUUUUUUAAUAUCUGUGAUGUUGCUUUCCUUUGUGGUCAAAGUUAGUUAUUCUGUUUCAUAUUCAAACUAUUUAAACACUUAUUUCAGGAUAUUGAUUUUGGAUUUAAUUAAAGAAAAAAUGCCUAGAAUUCCUGACACAUAACAAAAAAUGUUUAUAGAAUUGUACUGGCAUUUGUUCAAGAAGAGUUUUAUGUGGGGUUUGCUUGCCUGAAGGAAACUAUCUAUCUUGGUUGGCAGAGCCGCUUAUGACAGUAAUAUAGUUUGUUUUAUCAAAUCAAAAGCUAAAUUAAGCACCUUUUGCCUAAACUUGAUUUUAUAGAAUUGCUGCACACCGAUCUUAGUUUGACCCUGUUCUUACCUCAUACUCCAACUUCUUUGGCUUAGUCAACAUGUCACAUAUAACUACCUUGAAUUCAUACUUCUAUAUUUUUAAAAAUUCAAUUCACUUUAUUCACUCGUUAUUUUGUUUAAAUACAACUUCUAGCGUUAUUGUGUCUCAUAUGUAGAAAUGCCUUUUCCCCUAUGUCUAAACUAAACAACAUAUGGUACACUAGAAGGGAUUAUAUGCCUUGUCUUUAUCUUAAUCAGAUUCCUCAUUCACGACUUCGCAUUUUCAUGCAUUUAUAUAACCUAACAAUGUUAAAGAAGUGCCAUAGCCAAAAUACAUGAAGAAUGAUUGCUUCCUCUUUCUUGUUCCAAUGAUAAUAUUCUGUAUUCUUAGGUACCGUAUUACUGAGGGUGUAAAUCUUCCAUUCCGAGUGUUGCCAACAAUCAAAGAAUUGGGGAGGACACGCAUGGAAGUUAAUGUCAAGGUUUGUCAUCAAUGUUAUGAUAGAUGCAUAUUUCUUAUGCUCAUAUUUACCUCGUUUCCUUUAUUCUGCAGGUGAAGAGUGUCUUUGGUGCAAAAAUGUUUGCACUUGGAGUUGUGGUUAAGGUUCCAGUACCAAAGCAAACUGCCAAGGCAAGCUUCCAAGUGACAUCAGGUCGAGCCAAAUAUAAUGCUUCAAUUGAUUGCUUGGUUUGGAAGUAAGUGCUCAACAUUUUGUCACACGGUAUAAUUUUUGAAUGUUAAUGCCUCAAUUUCUCCAAUUAGUUAGUCAAAAUGCCGAGCUUAUUUCUGUCCUCGUGAUCCGCCUUACAUUUUAUGUGUGCGCCACGACUAUUUGUGUACCUUUGCAAAAAGAAACAUUUGAUCUGAAGUUCAAGUUAAUCAGCAUUACUUGCAACCUUGGUGGUGUAUUGAACUUAAAUUAUGGAGUUUGUGGGUUGUUUUCUUGCUUAAUCAAGGAAAUGCUAUUUAGUCGCACUGCAAGCUUCGCAUUGUGGCAAAACAAUUAGGAGUUCAUCCAUGAAGUGAUUUCAUGAGAACUUUGGAGGGGAAGACCUCCUCUUCUUUUUUGAUAGUGAGGCCCUAUUUAUUGAGGAAAUUAGCAUCAUUUUUCAGUUCCCGUUGAAUUUAAAAAUUUUAUAUCCACAAUGUUGAUUGGAGCAUUGUUUGUAUGAUGUGAUCAGAACUGAAGAUGGCCAUUAGAGUUUUAAGCUUUUUGCUUGUUAAGUUUCCUUUAAGGUAUUCUUUUGCUUUUCUUAAUUAUGAAUACAAGGUGUUAAAGUCUUCCUAGGAGCAGUGCAUUUAGCUGAUUCAGUUUUUGGAUAUAACCAAAUAGUGGCUUUUCUUGAUGUAGAGCAGAAUCUGAGCUGUCUUCUUUGAGAAUCUAAUGAUGAAUGCUGUUAGAUGCUUCUGUAGGGGUGUUAUCGGCAGGGACCCUUUAUUUUAAACUUGUUUACCACUAAACAUUUAAAUUACUUAUCCCCACUUUACCCUCGUAAGUUCUUUAGGACAUGUUGAAAUUCAUGUUUGGUGUUGGCUUUUUUCAAAGUUGAUAUAUUAAAGAGAAUGAAGUUAUUAAGUGCUAUUUGAGCUAUAACAGUAGACUUUAGUAGGCACUAUCUAGAGAAACAUUGUGUUGAUUUGAAUUUGUUAAUUGCUUUACACUUUAAAUAUUCAACAUGCAGGAUAAGAAAAUUUCCAGGGCAAACUGAAACAACUAUGAGUGCAGAAGUUGAGUUGAUUUCUACAAUGGCAGAAAAGAAGCCAUGGACUCGACCUCCAAUUCAAAUGGAAUUUCAGGUUUGACUAAAAUCUUGACUGCAAGUUCUUUUGAUAAAAAUGCAAAUUGCUUUGCAUGCUUUACUCGAGGAAACACUUUUCCUGUUCUUGUUUCCUGAGUUAAAUAGAUCAUACACACAUCACAAUAGAUUAAAAUCAAUAGCUUGUUUUCACACUGUUUCCCGUACUGUAUCAUAAGCGGGGCAUGUUCAAUUCAACAAACGGACCUUCAGUUUUCAUAUUCCAUUGCAAGUUAGGUAGUACUGUGGCAUGAAACUGUAGAUUUUUUCCACUAAAAAAAGGAAAUGUAAAAUUUUCUAGAUCACCCCAUGGUGGAGCUUCACGAAACAAAUCCAGGUUUCCUGUUGGAAUUUUCACCAUUAUAAUUAUAAAAACAGUGUUAAUUAUUCGUAAAAGGGAGUUUUAACUUGAACUGGUAUGGCCAUUUAGAGAGAGUUCCUGCUUUGAAGCCUGAAUCAGGCAUGGAAAGUCUAUAUAUAAGAUGCGUCUAUAUAUUUAGGAACUUUUUUUGUGGAGUUGCCUUAGCUGUUAGAUAUUUCUUUUCUUGAAACUUUUUCUUUUUUGCCAUUUUCUUGUUUUCUUUUUUUCUCAUUCUUUGGCCAAUCACCAUAACCAAGUGAACUGUACAUGCUCUGUGCAAAAAUGAGACCGUUGUAUGGAGUUGCAAUAUAAAUUCAUAACUCUUGCUCUGCCCAAGUGGAACUAUUUAGUCUGCUAUUAGUUUCUGGAAUCACUGAGUGUUGCCUUAUACUAUUCCGCCAUCAUGAGUCAGCAACAUAUUGCAACAUUUUCGUAUGCUGAUACCAACAUAAUAGGUUGCUUAAUGUACAAAAUAAUUCUGUUUUAUUUGCCUGGAGUAACUUUGGGGCCUAGUUUCACUUGUGUUUUUUUAUCUGUCAGGAGUCUCUGCAUGCUUUCUUGGCACAUUUUAAAACUAAUGUUUGAAAUCUUUUUGGUUCUGUAGGUUCCUAUGUUCACUGCAUCAGGAUUACGAGUCCGAUUUCUCAAGGUUUGUUUGGAACUAAUGCAGCUUCAGGUGCCUUCUGUGGCUUUAGGACCUGACUAAAAUUAAGUCCUCAUUUCUCCAAAAUCUCUGCAGGUUUGGGAGAAGAGUGGAUACAACACCGUAGAGUGGGUUCGUUAUAUCACAAAAGCCGGGUCAUAUGAGAUAAGAUGUUAGAAUCUGUGACUGCCUUCAUGCACAUCGACGGAACUGUUUAGGCGGCUCCCCAGCUCUCCAACUGAACAAUGUUGAUAUCAGGAUACUUUAUUACUUCAUGAUCAUGCAUUCCUGUGCCUGCAAAACAGCCUUUAGAUGAGGAGCCGCCCCUUGUGCUCCUUUGCUUCGCCCCCAUUUUUUUUCUCUCUUUAUAGCAAACAGUCUGUAUGUGCCGUUGUCUGAUUCCUUGUGGUGCAAGAUCAGUAUAAUGUUUUGUAAAUGCUGGAUGGCAGGUUGUAUAUUUUGGCUUUUGCUUAUGAGGUUUUACUUCAAGUGAUGUACAGAUUAUUGAAUUGAACACGGCAAAGCUGGCUAUUAUUUUCUAUAGUCCUAACUUAAACAAACUAUAACUACCUAAUUUCCAAUGCCACGCCAAACUAGUCUUGUAUUAGUGGUCUAACUGGUCUAACUGGGAUAUAGAUGAUAAAAUAUCAUGAUUGUCGACAACAAUGGGAGGUAUCCUUGGUCUAACUGGUCCCCUAACAUAGUUUCAUAGCCCUGAACAAGCCAAAGAAACCUUAAUUUUUAUCUGCUUAUGCGUAAAUCCAUGACCCAUCGCAUUACCAUCACGCCCCACCCCUUCCCCAUUUAGCCCCAGGCACCACUGUGGAUCUCAUGGCUUUAACCUUUGAUGAUUCCUUGAAUCCAUCCAACCUAACUAAGUUUAUCAAAUAUGCUGCCAAUCAACCCGACUCCUCCAGCUCAAUUGAAUAAUCUGAUCUGCCCAAUUUAAUCAGUUGAUUUUUAACAAAAUUCAAAUUUCAGCUAUUAAAUCAAGUUCUCUUGGAUAACUCGCAGCAUUCGCCAUUUGUAAGCAGUAAUUUCUUGAAUUUAUAAAUUACUAUUAUAAAAUUUAGUGAAAGAGCAUGGCGAAUUUCAAAUCCUCGCAUCUCUCUUACAUGUUUGGUCAUUCCAACCAACUUAACAACAUGCAUAAAAAACCCUGAUCAUAUUGUCAGAUCAACAAAAGAUUUCAAGACAAGUUCCUUUUACCGUAUUCACUCUGCAGCGACUCUUUGUUAUCGAUAAAACUUCUAAUCAUCAUUUCGUUGGAAAAUUAACAUGCUUUCUCUUUAUUCCAAGGAACAUCUUAGGAUGUCAUGUUCUCCUCCUCCAUGUUCGAAUUGCAAUGACAUGCACGGGGCUCUCUUUUGAUCCUCUUCAUAAAAUGUAAGUUCACUACGUUGUUGCAGAGAUGAACGCCAUCUGAUAUUGUAAUGGCCUGGUGCUUUAUAUCUUGUAGGGCAUCUAGGAAUCACUUUUUAUUUAGAGAGAUGUGGAUAAGGACUGUUGGAUAACCAUCAACAAGUUCUGAACUUCAAUAUCUUAAAUACCUGCUAAGAAACCAAUGCUCUCAUUUCUCCUCUGCCCUAUCUGCAGGGGUGAGAAGGAUUUAUGACAGUGCUUGGCACGACCAUAGAUGCAUAUGCUCCUCGUUUUGUACAGUGCUAUGUUUGGAUGAUCACUUCACUCAAGUUUUUUGUGCUUCAAGAGUAGCAUUCGUUGAGGAUCAUAAUGCUUAGGGUCAAUAUUAAGACGGCAACUUUCAUCCUAGUGGACCGAACAGGCAUACAAAAGGUGUAGGAUUUUAGAUGGUUAUAUGGUUGUUGAACUGGUGAGGGAAGGACUCCUACUCACACUUCAAGACAGCAAGCUCCAUCGCUUUAACUCGUUGAUUACAAAUGAGAGGGUAGGCUUCACCACCGACUAUUUUAACCAACUCACUAUGAGUAUAUUCAACGGGUUUAGUGGAAGAAACUAGUGUAAGAAGUCUAUUGAUUAUUUCUCACAAGUCUAUGGAGGAGGUCUUGUUUACUGGUUAAGGGUUCCCACAUUGAGUUGAGAUCCUCUAUGGUGCAUGUUUUGCACUGUAGAGAGCUGUACAACCUUGAAUAGCCAUCAUGUCAUCUAUCUUGGAGAUGGAUAGCUCUCCUUCAUCUCUGCAAUGCAUCAUGUCUUGUAUUGAACGAAAGCUGCUCGUUUUUUUAAGAUGGCUGACGUGGUAGCUAUCCAAUGUUGUAAAGCCCUUAAUUUGCAGUGCGGAGUAUCUGAACUAACAUUUAUACUAGAAUCUAUCAAAAUCUUUGGACCAUUCACAUGCAUGUGUUAGGCAUGAGAAAAUCAUUUCUAUUGUGGUUCAUUUUUAUCUAAAAUUGUGCAAUUUUUAUUUCUGCCUAGUUCCAAUAUGGUUUGAUCCUUUUGAUGCUGGAAUUGGAAUGGAGGAAAGAAUAUAUAUCAGCAUAAGCGGUAUGUGUUAAAGCCAUCACAAACCACAUUUCUACUUCAAAACAACUACCUUGUAUCUUGUGCUUGAAGUAAUAGGUAAUCUUUCGUUCCUCCUAGGCUCAAAAAAUGCGUACAUUUUCUAGAGAAACAUGAAAUGUGCAUAUUUUUAAAUAAUGAGGAAGAACUCUUUCUUAAUUUUUUGGAGAAAGGGGCAGAGUAAUUUGAGUUGGACCUUGCUAUCACACUGCUUGGAUUGGCAAAUUUAAUUCAGUAGUAUAGGAAUAAUUACUUCUUUGUAAAAAUGAAAUGCAUUAAACCUUUGUAAAUUUAUAUACCUUAUCAUUGCAUGAAACACGCAUCUCUGCUAAGUUGAUGGAAAUAUGGUCUCAAUCCAAUUUCCAUGCAGGAACGGAAUCAAAUGAUUUAGUUUCACUUGCUAAUUGAUAGCACAGGACAACAUAAUUAGGAAAAAAACACUCUUUCGUUUGGGUGUAGUUUUUAUGCGAAAGAAUGAUUGAUCCUUUUUUUGCAACAUUGACCAUUGCAUUGCGCCCUGCAUAGAUCUCAAAGUACUCUGAACUCCUUCAUUCAUCUAUAUGUACAUAUCUCAAAGUGACUACUGCGUGAUCCAAUAGUAGAUUUGCACAAAGGAAGGUUAAUCCUUCUUUUGUGCAAAAGACGCAACCCCCAUCUUUCACAUGCAUGCCUCUUGUGGUGUGAAAAAGACAUUGUUCUCCCAAACAUAGAGAACCACCCAUAGAGGGUGGUACUACAUGAGUACAAAUUACUAAAGGAGCACGGGUCCUCUGCAGUGCACGCAUGGCACCAUAGAGUGUCGUGCAGUCGUGGGUGGCCGCUAUUAAAAGAUGGAUGACCAUGAAACAAGGCAGUCCACAAGUAUGUACCAUGCAUGUGUUGUUUGAUGGCUGCCAUUCAAGAUUGCACAGUACUUUAUGAUGCAUGGCCCGCACCAUAGAAGAUCUUGGUUGUAUUAAAAAGUUGUGAACCAUACUCUACAAAUCCCACCAACCAUGUCGCCAAAUAUGCUUAAAGCAAGCUUUAUCUUCUUUUGUUUCGAUUGCACUCAACUCUUUUUUUUUUUGAUGAAAAUUGCACUCAACUCUUUAGUCAUGUCUGUACGAUUCCAUUCUAAAGCUUUGUUUUCUUUUUCUUUUUUCGGGUUAGCUGCAGUAGGAAUAUUGCUACCUUGUAAGAAGCAAAAAAAUACAAUGAAGCUACUGUUGCUAUUUCAUAACUCAAUAUACAUAAUUAGCAAAAUGCUGAAAUCUCCCAAUAAUAAUCCAAGGUAAGUUCCCAUGAAGAGCGCUCCAACAAGAAAGCUAUAUACCUUUACUUUAUGAUUGGUUUGUAAGUUGAAGUAAAACCUUAUAUACAAUUUAUACAUUUUCUCCUUCAUUAAGCAGGGAUGGCUGUCAAGUUUUAUCCAAGUUCAUUAGAGGUACAAAAGAAUGCAAUGGGCUAUGGACUUACUCUUGCAACUUCAAAAAUGACUUAGACCAGACCCCUUACCCAAUCUACAUGCAAUUAUGUAAUGAAAGGCUUGUAGAUGGACGCCUAGAUGGUGAGGAAUCUAUAUAUGGAUCAUCAGGUCAUAUGAUGGAUAUCUGAGGCAAAAAAAAUGCAAAGUCAAAAUGAAGGCCACUUUGUUUUCAAAACCAGAUUUUAAAACUUAUGGGAAAAAGCAGGAGAUAUUGAUAUCUAAGCCUCUAGACUAAGAUGACGAGGAACCACAUCAAGGAGAGUAGAAGAAAGACGCAGUCUUUGUAAAUUAUUGUAUAGGAACUUUGAUAUAUGUAACAUUUGUCAAGAAUCCGAAGGUAAUACAGAAAUUAAUUUAUUUAGCCAAAUGGCAUGAGAUCAAAACCUUUAAGAAGUUUCCCAAAGUUUCUUCAAUUCAAAUUGUUCCUUAGUUUGCAAAUAAUCUUGACAAAUAAUUAGAGAAAUCGUCUUGAAAGAGGCUCAAGCAUGAAAUCUGAAGGCUAAUCACUACCUCAGUUCUAAGGCAUUCUAAAAUUACAGCAAACAAAAUGAAACCUCCCAAACUCUCCUAGACCUGAAAAGAAUCUUACAAAAAAAGAAGCAAACGAAAAGAUUUGAGCGUACAUGUACAUGUAAUCCUCAAGAGUUGAUUAAAAAUGUACCGUUUCCAGCUGGACAAUAUUGCGGCAUAUGAACAUGGGUGUGCUACCCUUUUCCUAGUUGGGGUUCAUUUUUGUCAUGCACUCAAGGUAGAGAAGAAACAGUGAUGUUGUUAGAUCACAAGUUAUCUGAUGCAAUUUAGAACUAAUCUGAUCCAAAAGCCUAACAAAGGGAAAUGCCAAAAUGAAUUGUGUAACGGGACAAAGCAUAUUACUGUGUAUGUGUUCCUAUGAACUUUUAGUAGUCAAUGUAAAAACAAAGAGAGCAUGUUAAAAAUACACAAACUUAUUACUCCAAGUAAGCAUGACGCUUUAGUUAGAAUGAGAAUUAUUAAAUGGUUGGCAGAAGAAACCUGAUUAGAAAUAAUCUAGCAAAGUGACUAUCAGAAUUAAAUCUUCCUCUGAAUGAAGCAAAUUUGAAGAUGUCGUCUGUUCUUGUGUUCAUAUUUCUCUACUUCUCAUGUUAGAAAGAAAACAUUUGCCCAUACUAUAGAUGGAAGAAGAGAGUGAACAAGCACAAACAUUAGCAUAGGCUUAACUCACUUCUAAUAUCAACUUCAAUCCACAGGAGAAAACAAUCUCAGGAAUUCUCAUAUGGUUCAAGCAUAAGGUUAAAUGUCAUGAGUUCCAUAUUCUAAUCUUUUGGUUUUUGGCCAGGAAAGACAAAUAGAAAUAAAGAAAAAAAUAUUCUUAAUUAAAAAGAAAUUAAAGGAACCACUUCAUGUUAAAGAGUUUCUGUAUAUAGGCUUUUAAGUGCAGACUUAAUUUGGUGUCUAUAUAAAUUUACUUACCUUGUGUAUCUUGAUUGCGAUGCGAAGAGAUAUGUGAUUAGCCCAGUAGGAAUGGCAAUCAUGCAUUUUCCCUCCUUCAGCUAUUUUUAUUUUAGGUAUUCAUCAAAAGUUGUACAGAUCAACAUGGUGGAGUCAAUAACGGUCAUGAAGAGUUGUUAAUUAUGCAUAAUAUCAAGCAGACAAUCAUUGAAAUGCAAAUUGUUCUAAGAAGGUGGUGUGUGUAAACUUGGGGUUAGAGGACUAAGAGAAAUCAAGAACUAAGUGAUGCACCCAAAAGAUAACAUGAUCAUGCGACAAAAGCACUGUAGCAGAAGGACUCUCUAGCAAACCAUGAAUUGGUAGAUCUUAAUGCUUUUUCUCAAGAUCAAUCAAGGUGAUAAUAGGACCAAGCACCCAAAAAGCCUUGUAACCUUUUACCUCUACCUCAUAUAGCCAGAUUUUAUGAUUUUACCAAACUCAAACGCCAAACAAAUACACUGCCAAACCAGAUUUUACAAGAACGAAGGACAUAAAACAAGAACACUACUCCCUACACGACCUUGCACUGUGUUUUUAGCUGUGGCCACAUGAUGGAUUAAUGGAGCCACCAGGAACUCUAAGGAGCAGCAUAUCAUUAAGGGAAGAGAAUAUCAAAUAGGUUUAUGUGCAAUAUAUUAUACUUGACCCUUCAGUCCUAACAAUAUUAAGUGUUUGAGUGAUAACAAAAUUAACAAAAUCACUUGCAAAAAUAAAUAAUGCACCCCAAAAAUUAUCAAAAAGUGGUGAAAGUGCUGUCUAAGAUUUUUUGAUCUCCUAAAGGAAAAAGAAACAAAGAGACAUGAGGAAACCUUGGCUUUGGAAUGACCGAUAUGAGUCAAAAGGACAAAACAUUAUCAUUGAUAUAAGAGCCAAGAUUUGCUUCUUUUGGUAUCAUUGCCAUUCAAUUCAACUCAAAAGAAUCCAAGUGUUUCAUGUUCCAAAGAUUUUAGAUUUUAGAAGAGCAAAUAUAGAUCGAGGGAGAAGAUUAAUUUCCAAGGUGUUGGCUUGGAGAGGCCAAAAGCAAGAAGGACUUAUAACGAAGAUAUGCACACGUGCAUUCAGUUAAUAACUCACUUCCCAUGUCCUCCUCCUGUCUCGCACAUCCCCCUUCUCACUAAUCUCUAAACCAUCCUUAAUAUAUAAUAAACCCCAAUCUUCCGUAUAUCUUAAUCUUUGCUAUAUAUAUAUAUAUUGUUUUCUUCAUCGCAAAAGUAGAAGCCGCACCGAUUAUCAAAAAAAUAUAAAUAUAGAAUGUGAUAAUAGAAAUAAUAUAAGAAAGCACCAGUCAUUUAGCAGGUUGCUUUUAUCCUUGUAAGAAUUUGGAUACAAAAUCAUGUAAUAAUAUCCAAAACAACUCUCAGAAAUAAAUAAAAAAAAACCAGCUUCUUCGUGUAUCAUAUGCUUAAUUUGUUAUAUUAUUCUUUCUUUCACAGAGAAGCCUAAAAUAUCAGCAAAAAAAAAUUGCACACUAAUUUCAGAAAGAUAUCUAUACGUAGAAGGUCAGAGAGUACUACAAGUAGAGAUAGAGUUAAAUCCAAGUGCUAGGGCAUGUAGUAGUCUCAACCCAUUGUUUUAUGCAAAAAGACUUUGGUUUCCAUAUUGGACAGCAAACAAGAAGAUUAUCAGAAGGAAAUGAACAAGAGAACUCAAAUGAUCAAAAGAUCAAAACGAGAGAGAGAGAGAGAGAUCGUUCAUCGACAUCCUCAUAAAUUAAUGUCUAACCUUUGCCUCUGCCAUGAAUUUGCUCCGCCAUCUUCUCAUGAUUAUCUCAGUCGAUGGAUCGACGGUUAAAUACGACCAAGUUUCACCUGUGAUCAGUAGGGUGGCCGGCCUGCAGCACUCCCAGGCCACCCGGCGUGUCCGUCCAUUGGCAACUGUGGCAUGUUGAGCGGCAGAUUAAAGAACGGCAAGCUCGAAGGGUCCGGGAACGGAUUCCCACCUCCACCACCACCGCCACCGUUAGUCCCGCCACCACCUCCGCCGCCACUUCCCGGGCCCUGCGAAACAGGUGGCUGCAUCUGGAGCGGUGGCGGCUCCUCAUCUUCAAGAGGAAGCCGCUCGUACGCGACGUUGGUGAACGACGCGGCGAUCACGAUGACCGGGCCGGCAGCGAUGAGCGCGCCCACUACGCUCCCUCCUACGACCUGCCCCUGCCCGCCAGCUAGGAAGAUGGUGAGGCUGGUGGCCCCCGGCGGGGCUGGGGGCGGGAGGAAGGAGCCGGAGAGGGAGAGGAUCUCGAAGCGGCCAUGGAGGGUGACGACGGAGCCCGCGGAAGCCGGCUGGCGGAGGCUGACGUUGGUGACGGAGCCGCUGCCGCUGAGGAUGCAGACGCCGCGCUGGCGGCGGCGCGCGUACGUCGCGACGCAGUCGAAGACGUCGCAGCCGCUGCCAACCUCGAGGAUGUGGGCCUGAAGGGUGUUGGCACUCUCCCGGGUGAUGAUAACGGGGGGCUUUGGCUUGUUCUUCGACCCCGGGGGUCGGCCGCGGGGGCGCCGGGCGACGACAUCGCCCGGCCCCGCGGCCGAGGACCCGCCGGGGGGAUCCAUCAACUCCAGCCCUGCGGAGGCGGCGGCGGCGGCAGCGGAGGACUCAUCCCCGACGCCUGCGGAGUCAUCAGCGUCAGAGCGCUGGAGGUGGAGGUCGGGGCGGCGGUGGAGGAGUGGGUGGACGAACCGGGAGGCUGUGCCGAGAUCUAGGCCCGCCAUGCCAGCAUCCAAAGAAAUAGAGUAAUUUCUGGUAAGAGGGAGAAAAAAAAAGUUGAGUUGGAUUUUUUUGAAAUAAAAAAAGGACAAAAAGAGUGGGAAAUCAAUUUAAAAAGGGAUUUUUUUUAUAUUUUUGGGAGGAAUAAAGAACUAAAAAAAGAGGGAUGAGGAGUGGAACUCUACAGGUAAGGCAGAAAUAUAGAAAAAAGUUUGGGGGAUGAGUGCAGAGAAAGGAGGGCUUAAGCGAGCUUCAGUCUUUGGAGAAAUGGAGACGAUAGUGGGUGCUGCCUAGAAGUUGAUGAAACAAAUAAAAUAUUAGAAAGAGAGAGAGAGAGAUUACUAAAAUGAUUAUUCUAUUUAAAACUAGGGUUAGAGAGGGGUUAAGGUUUGGAACUUAGGGUUAAGUAGGAGCAAGUGGGAGGGAGGUUGCUACUGUGGGCGGGACCCACUUCUUAGUUCUUACUCAUUUAUCCUGUUCACACUUGAUUCAACUUGGGUUAAUGGCUAGUCUUAAUUAGUUUCAAGUUGGUGAUAAAGAGGUUGGGUGCACCUGAGGUGGUAGCCUAGUGGGAGCGUGAUCUUACUUCCAACCAAGUGGUUUCGAAUUCGAAACGCACGGACGUCGAUUAAAUUGUGGAAACCAGAUGCUCUCUGCUUGGACACGGGGUCUGUAAGAACAUAUCGCUAUGCUGGUAGCCUCGGAGGUGUCAGGUGUGACGCAUUCACACGUGGUAUUCAUGUCGGAGCCUAGAGGAGUAAUGGAGUCGGGCCCACCAGUGGAAAGGAUAUGAGUAAAACCAGCAGGAAUGCUCAACAUACGGUCAUUUUUAUCCAUAUCGAACAUUCUUCUGGCAGGAUGGGACCUAGUGAGGGCUUCUACGCGAGGGUGGGUUGUCCCUUCCUCCCCCCUUCCUCUUUCUUUCAGCAAAAACAAAAAAAAGAGGGUGGGUGCGCGCGCGCGGGGCUGGGUUUUAUGGGCAAAGGUUGGUGGCGCGGAAGACAAUGCACAAGGUUAUUGGUCCACCGUAGUUGUUUGGAUUAGGGUGUUGACAGGAAAAAAAGAUGGAUUGAGGUGAUUGGGAUGUUUUAGCUUUAUUUGGCAUGUUUGAGGUUGGGAGAAACAUCGCUCUUCUUGUACAUCAGUUUUGGAUUUGGACCCGUAGUGCUUUUAUAACCACAGCUCAUGGAUCAAAGACAAGAAUGUUAAACUUUGUGCUUAUCUUUCACAGUGGUCCUUUGGGGCAUUGCAAAGUGAUCAAGAGCUAUGGACUAAUCUCAAGAGUCUAAAUUUUGACGAACCAUUCUUACACUGAAAAUAACCUUUGCAUUAUGCGCUGCAGCCAAUAUUGACUAUAUAUAUAUAUCUUCACUGUGCAUGCAUCAUAUAGUUUCGUUUUACAUACAUUGUUCAAUAUAUAAUAGUGAUGACAAAAGACUAGUAAACCAUGGACUAGGAGGAUUCCUGCACCCUCUAAAUUGAGUUGUAGGGUUUAUUUGAUGCUUGUCUGACCAAAAGCUCACAUAACCAUUUUAGGUCAUUGUUUAUCGUUGCAGGAGUGGAAGGUAGACUUUCAUCACCCUAAUGUUCAACAUUUAGGUUCUAUUCUUUCUCCACAAGCUAACCAACUAUGACAUGGAUUAAAAUUUCAUUCAAGGUCUAUGAGUCAGUCCGACCGAACCAAUCACUUGUUCAAAUUUGCUAUUGCAUCAUCAUAAAAAAUCAACAAGACGAGGAAUCUUACAAGAGAGUCAGAGAAAAAAACCUCCCGCAAAUUAAUAUAAGACCUUGAAAAUAAAUUGUCGGCCUACUCUCAUCAAAGGCAACUGUGGGCUAGCAAUAUGCAUACCAUACAUGACCUAGAAGGAUUGUUGGUGAGUAAAUAAACGAAAAGCCUAUGAUUAAAAUUCUCGAACUAUCCAGCCGUGUGGAGUAAAACACCGCAUUUUCUUAACUAAAGUGAUUGGUGUUUUAUGGUACAAGGAUGGUGAUUAUGAUGCUACAAUAAUGCACAAUUAUAAAUAUGAAGGCGAUAACUAUAGCUCGCCAAUAUCUAAAUCAAAAGAAAGGAGAAGAGAGAUUAUAUUUAGUUUUGAAGUUUUUUUUUUUUGCUGAAGCGGAUGUAUCAUACAUGUCGGAUAUGAAUAUAUCCAAAAAAAUUAAAAGAUAAUAAGUUCCGAAGUGCACUAAAUAAUCUUCUCUUCCGUAGCCAUAGGGUGUUUUGAAGACUUUCACACGGGGCCUCGUCCUGAGCCCGGUUGAGCCAGAGUCAGGCUCGAGGUAAAUUAUAUGGGGUGAACGGCACGCGACGAUCACGUGCGAUGGCCAAGUCAAAGGCACAUGAGACUAGCCGUCGCUUUCAUCAGGAAUGGGGUCUCAGAGGUGCCCGCGAAACCCGGACGGCUCUGAAACUUUGCUUGGGGUUUGUGUUAAAAGGGCAUUGGCCCUCUCAAUACAACCCAAACCCACAUUAAAAAACUAUAAUAAUAAAAUAACAUAAUCUUAAAAAAAUGCUAUGUGUAUAUGCGUGCUUAUAAAAAUUCUUAGUGGAUUCCAAAUUUAUGAGUAAAUCCACCACCUUGUCUUCCUUGCCAUAGGCCAAUCAAAUGCUUCAGGAAUACCUUGGUUGGAUGGAGUAAGUUACAACUAUUGCUUGAAUGAAAUCAAGAAAUUAAAACUUGAAGGUUGAUAUAAUGAUAUUUCGGUAUAUUUUGUUGAUGGUCCUGUGCAACAUAUUUAGUGAGAUGAGUGGGCCGAGAUUUUAGAUAGAAAGCUCUAGAGGAUUCACUACAUGGUUGGAUAUGAUUUUGUUACAAAUUAAUUUUAUUAAAAUGAAAGAUAAAAUAUAAAAUCUAAAGUCCAUUUGUGCUUUUUUUUGGUAUACAGUAGGAGUCAUAGACUAAAACAAAAGAAUUUUUUGUAGUUUAAUUAUUGUGCAAGAAUUGACAUGCUUAGCUAAUUUGAAGAAGUUCAAAUCUAUUGAUUGAAUUAUGUUCUUUUGAAUCUAAUCAAUAUAAAUUUAUGUGCUAUAAUUGAUGUCGAAUACUGGUACCUAGUCCUAACCUUUUCUUGAUUCCAAAGAACUUUAGAUGCCUAAAAGCAUUCUAUUUGUGACUUGAAGUGUUCUAUUGGAUGAUUUUAGACCAAAUCUUGGUCAAAAUUAUAGAUUAAUGGUGGUCGAGCCAUGACUCUCAUGAUCAUAUGCAGAUUCCAUAUUGCAGUCUAAUUUGUAAAUUAUAUGACAAUCAAUUCAUCAUUCAUGUAUGCCAAUGUCUAAAAAAUUUAACAUCCAAGUUUUUGAGAACUAAAGUUGAAGCGGAGCCUAAUCAAUUAAUAGAGUAGGAAAGAAAUCGAAUCCAUGUAUUUUAUACCAAUACAAGAAACUUUGUCAUUUUUUUAGAAAAUAAAUUCAUUUAACUUUUAGAGAGAGGGGGAGAGAGAAAGAUUUGAUCAACUCUACUUGUUGGCAGCCUCGAAAUUUAACUCAAAAAUUAGGGUUGGGUACAACAAAGAGGCCAAAAUUUAAAUUUGUAGCUUAUAGGGUACUAACUAUUGAAAUAACAAAAAUUGUUUGUGUCACUACCGGUUUUUCGACUCGAAAAAUUAUUAAAUGGAUCAGGUCCACUAGACCAGUCCAAAUCACGUACCCCAGGAUUUGGACUGGUCCACUAAAUCUAAUCCAUCUAAUAGUUUAUCCUUCGACUCCAUUCCCAAACAUCACCUUUGGCUAGUCUCUUCUUGCUCUCUCCAAUCUAAUUUAUCCUCCACUCUUCGCACCAAUUAACUAUCGCUCCUAGAACAUCAACCCCACGCACCCAUCAA
rnacentral:lncRNA from 1 species